GACGAACGCUGGCGGCGUGCUUAACACAUGCAAGUCGAACGGAAAGGCCCUGCAUUUGUGGGGUGCUCGAGUGGCGAACGGGUGAGUAACACGUGAGUAACCUGCCCUUGACUUUGGGAUAACUUCAGGAAACUGGGGCUAAUACCGGAUAGGAGCUCCUGCUGCAUGGUGGGGGUUGGAAAGUUUCGGCGGUGGGGGAUGGACUCGCGGCUUAUCAGCUUGUUGGUGGGGUAGUGGCUUACCAAGGCUUUGACGGGUAGCCGGCCUGAGAGGGUGACCGGCCACAUUGGGACUGAGAUACGGCCCAGACUCCUACGGGAGGCAGCAGUGGGGAAUAUUGCACACUGGGCGGAAGCCUGAUGCAGCAACGCCGCGUGCGGGAUGACGGCCUUCGGGUUGUAAACCGCUUUCGCCUGUGACGAAGCGUGAGUGACGGUAAUGGGUAAAGAAGCACCGGCUAACUACGUG
rnacentral:rRNA from 1 species